AAACAACUGUGAUUCCCUUAGUAACUGCGAGUGAAGCGGGAAAAGCCCAUCGUUUAAUCUCCCCGGACUGUGGACGGGGCGACAUGUAACGGUAUGGAUAGGUUCUCUAUCGACUCUGUCUGGUCAAAGUCCUCCGGAUUGAGGUGCCAAAGAGGGUGACAGCCCCGUGUGUGACUGGAUAGGGUUGAGUAUGUGGCCGAUUCCGAGAGUCGGGUUGUUUGGGACUGCAACCUAAAGCAGGUGGUAAACUCCACCCAAGGCUAAAUAUUGACACGAAACCGAUAGCGAAUAAGUACUGUGAAGGAAAGUUGAAAAGAACUCUGAAAAGAGAGUUAAAAGUACGUGAAACCGCUAACGGGGAAGCGGAAGGCAGUGUCGAGAUUGGGUGAGUGAGUCAUUUCAAACUCGUUUCUAAGCGAGCUUGGGGUGGCUAGCUUUGCUCGAUGCGUCAGGACUAUUGGUGUGCGGUGGCUCAAUCGUCGGCAGGGCUUCCACGACACCUGCGUCGUGUUUCGGCAUGGCGUGGCUCGUGGUUGCGGCAGGCGAUCCGCCUCGUGCGCUGGUAUGUAUGUGGUGAGGCGUUGGUGAUGUAGUGUCGGUUGGUGUUGCGUGGUGCCCCGCGUAGUCACAUUGUGGCUACGUAUGGGGAAGUCGUGUGAUAGUUCAACAACCAGUGCCAGUUCCUGACGUGAUACCUAACCUUC
rnacentral:rRNA from 1 species